rnacentral:rRNA from 1 species
UGGGGAAUUUUGGACAAUGGGCGCAAGCCUGAUCCAGCAAUGCCGCGUGCAGGAAGAAGGCCUUCGGGUUGUAAACUGCUUUUGUCAGGGAAGAAAUCCUUUGGGUUAAUACCUCGAAGGGAUGACGGUACCUGAAGAAUAAGCACCGGCUAACUACGUGC